GCCUAACGGCUGAACCAGCAACUUGGAAGAAUGUAUAUCGACUCUGUCGAAUAAAGUUCUAGUUAAGUUAUGAUAAUGACAUUUCUUAACUAUGUGUCUUGACCAAAUCACGUGCCAGCAGUCGCGGUAAUACGUGGAAGACUAGUGUUAUUCAUCUUUAACAGGUUUAAAGGGUACCUAGACGGUAAAUCCAGCCCCAAAAGGGUACUAAUUUACUAGAGUUUAAUAAGAGAAGGGGAGUACUGAUGAGUGGAGAGAUGAAAUUUUAUGAUACCAUUAGGAACAGACAAAGGCGAAAGCGACCUUUUACAUAAAAACUGACGUUGAGGGACGAAGGCUUUAGUCGUGAACAGGAUUAGAUACCCAAGUAAUUAAAGCAGACAAUGAUGAAUGUCAUAGAUUAGUAGCCACUUACUAUUAAUCUAUAAAUGAAAGUGUAAGCAUUCCACCUCAAGAGUAAUGUGGCAACGCAGAAACUGAAAUCAUUAGACCGUUUCUGAAACCAGUAGUGAAGUAUGUUGUUUAAUUAGAUAAUCCGCAAAAGACCUCACCACAAUUUGUAUAUUAUUAUUUUUUUAUAAUACAAGCGUUGCACGGCUGUCUUCAGUUAAUGUCGUGAGAUUAGGUUAGUUCCAUUAAAUUAACGUAAACCCUUGCUUUAUUUAUAUUAUAAAGUAGAUCACCGCUAUAUUGGAUGUGAUAAUAGGGACUAAGACAAGUCAUCAUGGCCUGAAUAUUGUGGGCGAUAGACGUGCCACAUAAUCGGAGACAAAGGGAUGCAAAAUUGUGAAAUAUAGCUAAUCCCACAAAAUCCGACAAAAUAUGGAU
rnacentral:rRNA from 1 species